rnacentral:lncRNA from 1 species
AUCAGCUACGUUGAAACUUUCAUUAAAGGCUCCCACAUAAUAUAGGAGAAAAAAGGAAAGUUGCUGCAAUAUUGCAACAGAAAAGUAACAAUUAUUGCAGUUUGAUCUUAGAAUCUCUCCACCAUCAAUCAUUCUUAUCAGAAUACAACAUGAAGCAGUAUUUCAGCAGCCAGUUAAUAAUUUUCGUCUUCUGUUGUAUUGGAGUGAUACUGUCUGGAGAAAUUUGGGAAGGGAAUCAUGAAAAUUCUGACAAGAACUUACUAUCAUUGAUCACCAGAGCAGCAGUAGCAUCACGAGACAAUGCACUUAUGGCACCACCAAGUGGAUAUCAAGGUCGAAUGCCAGCAUACUAUAUACGAACCCAGAGAGGACUCAAAAGAGAACCAAAUUGGAUAUGGAUGCCAUCCCAUGGUUAUGUUCCUGUCCCAGAGACUUCCAAUGCUAGAAGUUCUGAUAAUCGUGGAAGUACAAUUCUGAGAUAUGGUUAAAUAUGAAAUCAUCUUCGAAUAACACGAACCUUUAAGUAACUGCCAACAAUGGAUAACUCUGUAUUUCUCUUGUUUCUUACAAUGACACAUACUUUUUGGAUUUAACACAGAAAUAAAUUUACAAUAUCUUUAAA